AUACGGAGGAUCCGAGCGUUAUCCGGAUUUAUUGGGUUUAAAGGGUGCGCAGGCGGCCAUUUAAGUCAGCGGUUAAAUCGUGGGGCUCAACCCCAUUCUGCCGUUGAUACUGGGUGGCUUGAUUGCGGUCGAGGUUGGCGGAAUUCGUUGUGUAGCGGUGAAAUGCAUAGAUAUGACGAAGAACACCGAUUGCGUAGGCAGCUGACCAGACCGCAAAUGACGCUCAUGCACGAAAGUGCGGGGAUCGAACAGGACUAGAUACCCUGGUAGUCCGCACAGUAAACGAUGAAUACUUGUUUUCGGCGAUAUAAUGUCGGAGGCAAAGCGAAAGCGAUAAGUAUUCCACCUGGGGAGUACGCCGGCAACGGUGAAACUCAAAGGAAUUGGCGGGG
rnacentral:rRNA from 1 species